rnacentral:rRNA from 1 species
AACGCGGAAGAACCUUACCUACCCUUGACAUCCAGAGAAUCUGUGAGAGAUAGUAGAGUGCCUUCGGGAGCUCUGAGACAGGUGCUGCAUGGCUGUCGUCAGCUCGUGUCGUGAGAUGUUGGGUUAAGUCCCGUAACGAGCGCAACCCUUAUCCUUAGUUGCCAGGCGGUUCGGCCGGGAACUCUAGGGAGACUGCCGGUGAUAACCCGGAGGAAGGUGGGGACGACGUCAAGUCAUCAUGGCCCUUAUGGGUAGGGCUACACACGUGCUACAAUGGUCGGUACAGAGGGCAGCAAAACCGCCAGGUCAAGCAAAUCCCAGAAAGCCGAUCCUAGUCCGGAUUGGAGUCUGCAACUCGACUGCAUGAAGUCGGAAUCGCUAGUAAUCGCGAAUCAGAAUGUCGCGGUGAAUACGUUCCCGGGUCUUGUACACACGA